rnacentral:lncRNA from 1 species
UUAAAGAUGAAAACGCUGGUACAUCAGUAAUUAUUAUUGCUCGUAAUAAAAAAAGGCCUAGUAGAGGAGAAGAAAAACAAAAUAAAUACUAAAUGAAGAAACAUCAAAGAGACUUAUCAGUGAAAAACUUGAAGAAGUUUGAAAAUGAAAAGCAUGAACACUUCGAAAGAAAAGAAGUCAACGAUGGAAAACAUGAAUGAAACAAGAAAGAAAAAGAAAAU